CUUAGUCUUUUCUUCUCCCAAAGAUAACCCACAAGAAAGCGGAGGAUAGAAAUUAUUGGGGUAAUUCGGUUGCUUCUGGCCAGAGCAGAAAUUAAGCAAGCAAGCAGAAUAGAGCAUAUCCCUGGUUCAGAUGUUUCAAAGAAGUGUUGUGAGAAGAAGCAUAAGCGAUUCCUGCUUCAACCCCAUAAAUACAUAAAUUUCCCAACGUAUAUGCUCAAAGAGAAAGCAUUAAGAUAAUCCAUGCCACCAUGUUUGAUGAGUAGUUCUGCUUUGAUGAGUAGUUCAGCAUCAAAAGAGUUGCAGAAAGACCUCUCAUGAAGAGGAAUAGCAUCAGUGUAAGCUGUAAAAUCAAGCUCCCCUAUGGGAUUACUUAUGGUGUAUGGGUUGAGGGGGGUCUUCCAUCACUUCCCACUUCUCCCUUCUGCCCACCAAGGCCCUCUCAGUUGCUGCUGCUUGAGGAAGUCCCCUUGCCACCAAGGAGCACACUGGGAUUCCCCAGCAUUUCAGGCAGGAAACUCGAGCUACUUGUAUGUGUUUCUGGCCAAUACUGGUCAUUCCUUGAGUGAUUUCUAUUCCGGACCACAGACAAACAUGUAAACUGCUGGAAUUUCCACUGGAACUCUCUGACACCCCUUGAUUGUAAGUGAGCAUUCCACUAACAAGAGGAGGAGUUAAGGCCUUGCAAAGAGUUUUGCUCUGAUGUGAAAUUUUCAGAUUUCACAACACUUGCUUUAGUUCAGUCGCUGAAAAACUUGAGUUUUUGCAAAGAGCCGGUGCUUUUGAUAUAGCAGUUGGGGUUUUGUAGAAUCUGCUGCUUGCUGUUGACUCUGCUUUCAUCUAGCAGGAUCUGCUCUUGGAGGAAAUGUGUUUGAACACCUUACAAGACAGAAGGAAACCUGAAGGCUAACCAACCCAACUUCUUCAAACAUUCUUCAUAAAGCUUGGUUUCCAGACCAUUGAUCAUCUUGGUUGCCCUCCUCUGCACACGUUCCAGCUUGUAAACAUCCUUCUUACACUGUGGUGCCCAGAAUUGGACUAAGUAUUCCGAAGAAGAUCCACAUCUUGUUUAGACUGAUGCAGAAAAGUGAUGAACUCAACUGCAAACUUCAAAAAUGAGGAACUGAAAGCUGACAGAUACAGCCAUCCGUCAUGUCUACAUAGAAGGAAGUCUCGUUGAUUCAGUUGGACUCAAGUCCCCAAUAAGCAUGGAUCCCACUUCCCCUCUCUUGAGAAGCUCGGAACUUCUUACACCUCCAUUUCCCGUGCAGGUACUGACUAUGUUGAGGCAUCUUCCACAUCAAGACUGUAGCAACAUUGCAUGACCUUCGAGUCUCUGUUUUGUUGCAUGGGGCUCUAAAAAGUUAACAUGGGCGAACAUUUAUGGUACACUCUGCCAUGCAAAUAUAUAUACGCCUGCCCCAUGGAAUGCCCUCCCAUCAGAUGUCAAGGAAAUAAAUAACGAGAAAACUUUUAGAGGACGCCUGAAGACAGCCCUGUAUAGGGAAGAUUUUAA